ACAUCUUGGAGGGUAAGGAACUUGAGUUUUACAUGAAGAAACUCCAGAGAAAGAAAGGAAAGGGUGCCAGUGGUGCUGCUUAGAGUUGCACCUCCAUUUUUUCACAUUACGAUAAAUCGAGAACAAAUGAGAUUAGUCGUUAUUACCUAUUCAAUAGUCUUGGUGCUACUCUUCAUUGGGAGGGAAUGAUAACUUCUUGUAACAGAGUUAGAUUCAAGUUUCUUUUGCAUAUGGUUAUCUAAAUGUUUUGAGAACUGACUAAUUUAUCAAAAGAAGAAAUUUGAGAACAAAAAAAAAACGUGUUCCACAAAUCAAGCAAGAGAAAAAAGUGGACAAAAAUAAACGUGGGGGUAAUUAAAUGUAGUAAAAAUAGGUUGGAAGAAAGAGAAAAAAAUGGGGAAAGAAGAU
rnacentral:lncRNA from 1 species